CAUGCAAGUCGAACGGAAAGGCCCUUUCGGGGGUGCUCGAGUGGCGAACGGGUGAGUAACACGUGGGUGAUCUGCCCUGCACUCUGGGAUAAGCCUGGGAAACUGGGUCUAAUACCGGAUAGGACCAUGGGAUGCAUGUUCUGUGGUGGAAAGCUUUUGCGGUGUGGGAUGGGCCCGCGGCCUAUCAGCUUGUUGGUGGGGUGAUGGCCUACCAAGGCGACGACGGGUAGCCGGCCUGAGAGGGUGUCCGGCCACACUGGGACUGAGAUACGGCCCAGACUCCUACGGGAGGCAGCAGUGGGGAAUAUUGCACAAUGGGCGCAAGCCUGAUGCAGCGACGCCGCGUGGGGGAUGACGGCCUUCGGGUUGUAAACCUCUUUCAGUAUCGGCGAAGCUUGCGGGUUUUCUCGCAGGUGACGGUAGGUACAGAAGAAGCACCGGCCAACUACGUGCCAGCAGCCGCGGUAAUACGUAGGGUGCGAGCGUUGUCCGGAAUUACUGGGCGUAAAGAGCUCGUAGGUGGUUUGUCGCGUUGUCCGUGAAAACUCACAGCUCAACUGUGGGCGUGCGGGCGAUACGGGCAGACUGGAGUACUGUAGGGGAGACUGGAAUUCCUGGUGUAGCGGUGGAAUGCGCAGAUAUCAGGAGGAACACCGGUGGCGAAGGCGGGUCUCUGGGCAGUAACUGACGCUGAGGAGCGAAAGCGUGGGGAGCGAACAGGAUUAGAUACCCUGGUAGUCCACGCCGUAAACGGUGGGUACUAGGUGUGGGUUUCCUUCCUUUAGGGAUCCGUGCCGUAGCUAACGCAUUAAGUACCCCGCCUGGGGAGUACGGCCGCAAGGCUAAAACUCAAAGGAAUUGACGGGGGCCCGCACAAGCGGCGGAGCAUGUGGAUUAAUUCGAUGCAACGCGAAGAACCUUACCUGGGUUUGACAUGCACAGGACGCCGGUAGAGAUAUCGGUUCCCUUGUG
rnacentral:rRNA from 1 species